GAUCCAACUCGUGCAAGUCCUUCAACACCUUUGCCUACAGGUCGUGGGCUUUUCUUGUCCACAGUAGGCAGAGGGACACUAUUGCUUUUCCACUUAACUUUGACGUUCUCCUGAAGAACUGUUCUGUUCAAUGCAAUAAAAUAUCGUUCCAGGAUAACAAGCCUCUGCUUUAGCCGCAUAGCUGAAAGAGCUGUUGUGGCAGUUUGUGUGGCCAGAGUUUGUUGUUCCUUCACUAGUACAUGUAGGCAUUCUUUCAAUUCAUUCACAUCUGGUUGUUUGCCCCAUACCCAACUCUCAACAAUCGAUCUGGCCCUGUAAGUGGGUGGCGGAGCCUCUUCUUCAUCUUUCUUUUCUUUGUCAUUUUGCUCUUCUUUCUUUGAUGCAGUUUGGCAUUCAGUGCUAUCAUCUUUCCUUGGAGGUAGUUCACCAUUCUGUGUAAAUUCUGUUCCAGGAUACACGAUCUCCCCAUCUUUUACCAUUUCAUUCCACAAACCACAGAGUCCGUCUCGUGUAAAAGCAAGCUGUAGGUCUGUCUUCAGCCAUUUGGAGUCAAACCUGGCCUGAGCAGCCAGACAGAAAGAUUCCGAGGACAUCUUCCCUUCUCCAGCCUCCUCUCCAGGCUGGCCGAGCAGCCCCACCGAGCGCUCGCGAUGAUGAUAAUGAUGGUGGUGGUGGCGGCGGCUCCCCGGCCCGUUCUGUCACCACCCGCUCGGCCCCGGAUUAUCCUCGCCCCUCCUUCCCA
rnacentral:lncRNA from 1 species